rnacentral:rRNA from 1 species
UACGAAGGGGCUAGCGUUGUUCGGAAUUACUGGGCGUAAAGCGCACGUAGGCGGCUUUGCAAGUUAGAGGUGAAAGCCCGGGGCUCAACUCCGGAAUUGCCUUUAAAACUGCAUCGCUAGAAUUGUGGAGAGGUAAGUGGAAUUCCGAGUGUAGAGGUGAAAUUCGUAGAUAUUCGGAAGAACACCAGUGGCGAAGGCGACUUACUGGACACAUAUUGACGCUGAGGUGCGAAAGCGUGGGGAGCAAACAGG